CUACGGGAGGCUCCAGUGGGGAAUAUUGCACAAUGGAGGAAACUCUGAUGCAGCAACGCCGCGUGGAGGAUGACACUUUUCGGAGCGUAAACUCCUUUUAUAUAGGAAGAAGAUGACGGUACUAUAUGAAUAAGCGCCGGCUAACUCCGUGCCAGCAGCCGCGGUAAUACGGAGGGCGCAAGCGUUACUCGGAAUCACUGGGCGUAAAGAGCGUGUAGGCGGAUUAAAAAGUCAGAAGUGAAAUCCUAUAGCUUAACUAUAGAACUGCUUCUGAAACUCUUAAUCUAGAAUAUGGGAGAGGUAGAUGGAAUUUCUGGUGUAGGGGUAAAAUCCGUAGAGAUCAGAAGGAAUACCGAUUGCGAAGGCGAUCUACUAGAACAUUAUUGACGCUGAGACGCGAAAGCGUGGGGAUCAAACAGGAUUAGAUACCCCCGUAGUC
rnacentral:rRNA from 1 species